rnacentral:rRNA from 1 species
ACGGGAGGCAGCAGUGGGGAAUAUUGCACAAUGGGCGCAAGCCUGAUGCAGCCAUGCCGCGUGUAUGAAGAAGGCCUUCGGGUUGUAAAGUACUUUCAGCAGUGAGGAAGGUUCAUGCGUUAAUAGCGUAUGGAUUUGACGUUAGCUGCAGAAGUAAGCACCGGCUAACUCCGUGCCAGCAGCCGCGGUAAUACGGAGGGUGCGAGCGUUAAUCGGAAUUACUGGGCGUAAAGCGCAUGCAGGUGGUUUGUUAAGUCAGAUGUGAAAGCCCGGGGCUCAACCUCGGAAUUGCAUUUGAAACUGGCAGACUAGAGUACUGUAGAGGGGGGUAGAAUUUCAGGGUGUAGCGGUGAAAUGCGUAGAGAUCUGAAGGAAUACCGGUGGCGAAGGCGGCCCCCUGGACAGAUACUGACACUCAGAUGCGAAAGCGUGGGGAGCAAACAGGAUUAGAUACCCUGGUAGUCCACGCCGUAAACGAUGUCUACUUGGAGGUUGUGGCCUUGAGCCGUGGCUUUCGGAGCUAACGCGUUAAGUAGACCGCCUGGGGGAGUACGGUCGCAAGAUUAAAACUCAAAUGAAUUGACGGGGGCCCGCACAAGCGGUGGAGCAUGUGGUUUAAUUCGAUGCACGCGAGACCUUACCUACUCUUGACAUCCAGAGACUUUCAGAGAUGGAUGUGCUUCGGGACUCUGA